rnacentral:rRNA from 1 species
GACGAAUGCUGGCGGCGUGCUUAACACAUGCAAGUCGAACGGAAAGGCCCUGCUUUUGUGGGGUGCUCGAGUGGCGAACGGGUGAGUAACACGUGAGUAACCUGCCCUUGACUUUGGGAUAACUUCAGGAAACUGGGGCUAAUACCGGAUAGGAGCUCCUGCUGCAUGGUGGGGGUUGGAAAGUUUCGGCGGUUGGGGAUGGACUCGCGGCUUAUCAGCUUGUUGGUGGGGUAGUGGCUUACCAAGGCUUUGACGGGUAGCCGGCCUGAGAGGGUGACCGGCCACAUUGGGACUGAGAUACGGCCCAGACUCCUACGGGAGGCAGCAGUGGGGAAUAUUGCACAAUGGGCGGAAGCCUGAUGCAGCAACGCCGCGUGCGGGAUGACGGCCUUCGGGUUGUAAACCGCUUUCGCCUGUGACGAAGCGUGAGUGACGGUAAUGGGUAAAGAAGCACCGGCUAACUACGUGCCAGCAGCCGCGGUGAUACGUAGGGUGCGAGCGUUGUCCGGAUUUAUUGGGCGUAAAGGGCUCGUAGGUGGUUGAUCGCGUCGGAAGUGUAAUCUUGGGGCUUAACCCUGAGCGUGCUUUCGAUACGGGUUGACUUGAGGAAGGUAGGGGAGAAUGGAAUUCCUGGUGGAGCGGUGGAAUGCGCAGAUAUCAGGAGGAACACCAGUGGCGAAGGCGGUUCUCUGGGCCUUUCCUGACGCUGAGGGGCGAAAGCGUGGGGAGCGAACAGGCUUAGAUACCCUGGUAGUCCACGCUGUAAACGGUGGGUACUAGGUGUGGGGUCCAUUCCACGGGUUCCGUGCCGUAGCUAACGCUUUAAGUACCCCGCCUGGGGAGUACGGCCGCAAGGCUAAAACUCAAAGGAAUUGACGGGGCCCCGCACAAGCGGCGGAGCAUGCGGAUUAAUUCGAUGCAACGCGUAGAACCUUACCUGGGUUUGACAUGGAUCGGGAGUGCUCAGAGAUGGGUGUGCCUCUUUUGGGGUCGGUUCACAGGUGGUGCAUGCCUGUCGUCAGCUCGUGUCGUGAGAUGUUGGGUUAAGUCCCGCAACGAGCGCAACCCUUGUUCACUGUUGCCAGCACGUUAUGGUGGGGACUCAGUGGAGACCGCCGGGGUCAACUCGGAGGAAGGUGGGGAUGACGUCAAGUCAUCAUGCCCCUUAUGUCCAGGGCUUCACGCAUGCUACAAUGGCUGGUACAGAGAGUGGCGAGCCUGUGAGGGUGAGCGAAUCUCGGAAAGCCGGUCUCAGUUCGGAUUGGGGUCUGCAACUCGACCUCAAGAAGUCGGAGUCGCUAGUAAUCGCAGAUCAGCAACGCUGCGGUGAAUACGUUCCCGGGGCU